rnacentral:rRNA from 1 species
CCUACGGGGGGCAGCAGUGGGGAAUAUUGGGCAAUGGGCGCAAGCCUGACCCAGCAACGCCGCGUGAAGGAAGAAGGCUUUCGGGUUGUAAACUUCUUUUAUGAGGGACGAAACAAAUGACGGUACCUCAUGAAUAAGCCACGGCUAACUACGUGCCAGCAGCCGCGGUAAUACGUAGGUGGCAAGCGUUAUCCGGAUUUACUGGGUGUAAAGGGCGUGUAGGCGGGACUGCAAGCCAGAUGUGAAAAUUAUGGGCUCAACCCAUAACCUGCAUUUGAAACUGUAGGUCUUGAGUGAUGGAGAGG